rnacentral:rRNA from 1 species
GACGAACGCUGGCGGCGUGCUUAACACAUGCAAGUCGAACGGAAAGGCCCUGCUUUUGUGGGGUGAUCGAGUGGCGAACGGGUGAGUAACACGUGAGUAACCUGCCCUAGACUUUGGGAUAACUUCAGGAAACUGGGGCUAAUACCGGAUAGGAGAUCCUGCUGCAUGGUGGGGGUUGGAAAGUUUCGGCGGUUGGGGAUGGACUCGCGGCUUAUCAGCUAGUUGGUGGGGUAGUGGCUUACCAAGGCUUUGACGGGUAGCCGGCCUGAGAGGGUGACCGGCGACAUGGGGACUGAGAGACGGACCAGAGUCCUACGGGAGGCAGCAGUGGGGAAUAUUGCACAAUGGGCGGAAGCCUGAUGCAGCAACGCCGCGUGCGGGAUGACGGCCUUCUGGUUGUAAACCGCUUUCGCCUGUGACGAAGCGUGAGUGACGGUAAUGGGUAAAGAAGCACCGGCUAACUACGUG